rnacentral:rRNA from 1 species
GAUCAUUAUUGAAAUAAACCUGAUGGGUUGCUGCUGGUUCUCUAGRGAACAUGUGCACACUUGUCAUCUUUAUAUCUCCACCUGUGCACCUUUUGUAGACCUGGAUAUCUUUCUGAAUGCCUUCUAGCACUCAGUUUUGAGGAUUGACUUUUCUGUCGUUCCUUACAUUUCCAGGCCUAUGUUUCUUCAUAUACCCCAAUGUAUGUCGUAGAAUGUACUAAAUGGGCCUUGUGCCUAUAAAUCCUAUACAACUUUCAGCAACGGAUCUCUUGGCUCUCGCAUCGAUGAAGAACGCAGCGAAAUGCGAUAAGUAAUGUGAAUUGCAGAAUUCAGUGAAUCAUCGAAUCUUUGAACGCACCUUGCGCUCCUUGGUAUUCCGAGGAGCAUGCCUGUUUGAGUGUCAUUAAUAUAUCAACCUCAUCGGCUUUGCUUGUUGAGUGUUGGAUGUGGGGGUUUAUUUUGCUGGCCCUUUCUGUGGUCGGCUUCCCUGAAAUACAUUAGCGGAACAAUUUGUUGACCGUUCAUUGGUGUGAUAACUAUCUACGCUAUUGACGGUAAAGCAGGUUCAGCUUCUAAUAGUCUAUUGAYUUGGACAAAUUUCAUUAAUGUGACCUCAAAUCAGGUAGG